rnacentral:rRNA from 1 species
UGCCAGCCGCCGCGGUAAUACAGAGGGUGCGAGCGUUAAUCGGAAUUACUGGGCGUAAAGCGCGCGUAGGCGGUUAAAUAAGUCAGAUGUGAAAGCCCAGGGCUCAACCUUGGAACUGCAUCUGAUACUGUUUAACUAGAGUUUUGGAGAGGGAAGUAGAAUUUCAGGUGUAGCGGUGAAAUGCAUAGAGAUCUGAAGGAAUACCAGUGGCGAAGGCGACUUCCUGGCCAAAAACUGACGCUGAGGUGCGAAAGCGUGGGUAGCAAACGGGAUUAGAUA